rnacentral:lncRNA from 1 species
UGGCACGAGAGUUUCAGGAUUUGACGCAGACUACUGAGACUGUGGCGGAGAUCACCGCCAAGUUCAGGGAGAGGGCUCUUCUUGUACCGCAGUAUGUCGCGGAUGAGGAGAUGAAGAAGGCCCGAUAUCAUGAGAUGUUGAGGGAUGACAUCAGGGAGUUCGUGAGCAGAUCCAACUGUAAGACGCUGGAAGAUAUGAUUUCNGUAAGACGCUAAGAUAUGAUUUCUCGGGCUAGAGAAAGGGAGAUUAAUUUGGAGCAAAUCCGGAAGAGGAAGCCGG